GAUUUCUUCGGUAAAGAGCGGCGGACGGGUGAGUAACGCGUGGGUAACCUACCCUGUACACACGGAUAACAUACCGAAAGGUAUGCUAAUACGGGAUAAUAUAUUUGAGAGGCAUCUCUUAAAUAUCAAAGGUGAGCCAGUACAGGAUGGACCCGCGUCUGAUUAGCUAGUUGGUAAGGUAACGGCUUACCAAGGCGACGAUCAGUAGCCGACCUGAGAGGGUGAUCGGCCACAUUGGAACUGAGACACGGUCCAAACUCCUACGGGAGGCAGCAGUGGGGAAUAUUGCACAAUGGGCGAAAGCCUGAUGCAGCAACGCCGCGUGAGUGAUGAAGGCCUUCGGGUCGUAAAACUCUGUCCUCAAGGAAGAUAAUGACGGUACUUGAGGAGGAAGCCCCGGCUAACUACGUGCCAGCAGCCGCGGUAAUACGUAGGGGGCUAGCGUUAUCCGGAUUUACUGGGCGUAAAGGGUGCGUAGGCGGUCUUUCAAGUCAGGAGUGAAAGGCUACGGCUCAACCGUAGUAAGCUCUUGAAACUGGGAGACUUGAGUGCAGGAGAGGAGAGUGGAAUUCCUAGUGUAGCGGUGAAAUGCGUGGAUAUU
rnacentral:rRNA from 1 species